UACGGAGGGUGCAAGCGUUGUCCGGAAUCACUGGGCGUAAAGGGCGCGUAGGCGGCUCAUGAAGGCUGUGGUGAAAGUCCGGGGCUCAACCUCGGAUCGGCCGUGGCGACUCGUGGGCUGGAGCACUGUAGAGGCGGGUGGAAUUCCGGGUGUAGCGGUGGAAUGCGUAGAGAUCCGGAAGAACACCAGUGGCGAAGGCGGCUCACUGGACUGGUAUUGACGCUGAGGUGCGAAAGCGUGGGGAGCAAACAGG
rnacentral:rRNA from 1 species